rnacentral:lncRNA from 1 species
GUAUGUUAUGGACAUAUCGGAUUAAUAUUUUGCACAUGUGUCUUACAAUGUUGUUACAAAGUGAAUUCUUUUUCAAACAAUGCCACAAGACCGUUUAAACAUGUAAUCAUGAUAUAAACAUUGAUAGUAUGCAAUUUAUGUUCAUCAUACUACACACUUCCCACGCUCUAAUAGGAUAAGAAACAGUGUCUAUUUACCUCGGUAUAGUCAUUUUCGCAAAUGUAGGAAGCAUGAUUAAAUCAUUAUUAUCUUAUGAAAUAUGCCUAAAUGUUACAAGUUAUAUUCAAACUGCGAUGUCAAAAGAUAAUUUCAUGUAAUUUGUGUUAAGGUUAAUUAACGGUAUACCGCCAUCUUGGAUUGUAUAAUUGCAGUACAAAAUUGGUCUAGUUAUAUGCCCAAAUCUGCAAAUUUGGAAACAGAUUUGAAAUCUAAUGGUUAGACUGUUUAUCUAUAUAAAGAAAAAAAA